rnacentral:rRNA from 1 species
CCUACGGGUGGCAGCAGUGAGGAAUAUUGGUCAAUGGACGAGAGUCUGAACCAGCCAAGUAGCGUGAAGGAUGACUGCCCUAUGGGUUGUAAACUUCUUUUAUAUGGGAAUAAAAUGUUCCACGUGUGGGAUUUUGUAUGUACCAUAUGAAUAAGGAUCGGCUAACUCCGUGCCAGCAGCCGCGGUAAUACGGAGGAUCCGAGCGUUAUCCGGAUUUAUUGGGUUUAAAGGGAGCGUAGGGGGAUUGUUAAGGCAGUUGUGAAAGUUUGCGGCUCAACCGUAAAAUUGCAGUUGAAACUGGCAGUCUUGAGUACAGUAGAGGUGGGCGGAAUUCGUGGUGUAGCGGUGAAAUGCUUAGAUAUCACGAAGAACUCCGAUUGCGAAGGCAGUUCACUGGACUGCAACUGACACUGAGGCUCGAAAGUGUGGGUAUCAAACAGGAUUAGAUACCCUGGUAGUC